UAAAACGUAGGAGGCGAGCGUUAUCCGGAUUUACUGGGCGUAAAGCGCGUGCAGGCGGUUUGGUAAGUCGGACGUGAAAGCUCCCGGCUCAACUGGGAGAGGUCGUUCGAAACUGCCAGACUAGAGGGCAGCAGAGGGAGGUGGAAUUCCGGGUGUAGCGGUGAAAUGCGUAGAUAUCCGGAGGAACACCAGUGGCGAAGGCGGCCUCCUGGACUGUCCCUGACGCUAAGACGCGAAAGCUAGGGUAGCAAACGGGAUUAGAAACCCCGGUAGUCCUAGCCGUAAACGUUGCACACUUGGUGUUGGUGGCGUAAGACCCAUCAGUGCCGCAGCUAACGCGAUAAGUGUGCCGCCUGGGGACUACGGUCGCAAGGCUA
rnacentral:rRNA from 1 species